AGUUUUGAAACGAAGAUAUUUCCUUUUCUGCCAUUGACCUUAAAUCGCUUGAAAUCUCCACUUGCAAAUUCCACAAAAACAGUGUUUCAAAUCUGCUCUGUCUAAAGAAACGUUCAACUCUGUGAGUUGAACACACACAACACAAGGAAGUUACUAAGAAUUCUUCUGUCUAGCCUUACAUGAAAAAAACCCGUUUCCAACGAAGGCCUCAAAGAGGUCUGAAUAUCCACUUGUAGACUUUACAAACAGAGUGUUUCC
rnacentral:lncRNA from 10 species